UGUGAAUAUAUUUCAAUGUUUAAACCGUGCCUGACAAGUAUAAAGCGAUUCUAUGAGGAAUAUUAAUAGAAAACCGAGAGAGUCGGGAUUCAGCAGUACUAGGUUUACCGCCUGCCAUAAAUAGUUAUGGCGGCGGCCAGUCCACCAUGUCGGGUAUGUAACCAUUUACUAUCCCCUAAACGCCGAAGAAGCAUCUUUGGUAACACAUUUGGCGUAAUCAGUCAGUUAACCGAAGUUUUAGGAUACACUCCAAGCUCAAGUGACUGCUUAUCAAAGUAUGUUUGCGAUUAUUGUUUUGUAAGAUUGAGCAAGUUAGCCAAGGUCGAUUACGAUAUCGAGCAUUAUCUUGAUGCACUUAAUGCUUAAGAAAAAGAGACUCAGCCUUAUCAACGAUCUCAGAUCCCGAUCCCAACAGGAGUCAGGUCCUACUCUCCGUAGCCUACAGUCUGUUGCAAAUAGUUAUGGAACUGUUCAGACGGGACAACCUUGCCCUACUGUUCUGAAACCAGAAGUGAUCGAAAAAUCUUCAAACUGUAGGAGAGUUAGAAAGUCUAGGAAGUUUCACUCUACAGUGUAUAAGAAAAUUGCACCAAAGCAACAAACUGACACUACAACAAUAGAACCAGAAAAAAGCACAAAGGUCGUAGAGGUCAAAGUUAAUUUUACUCUGUUCUCACCUGAUCAGAUAAAAGAAGAGUUGAAUUAAACCCAUGGACUUUCACAGGCCCUUUAGCUAUUAUAAUGAUUUGAAACAAAUUUGAAUUUUUACUCUAUGCAUGGGACCUAUGGUAAAAGAUUCAGACAGAUGCUGGACAUCCUUUUAAAGAAUUUCCGUUUUACUUCAUGUAAAUAACUGAAAUUGUGGUCUUACGUUUAUUUUCUUAAACAUUGUAUUAAAAUCAGAGUGCAUUACUGUACUUUAUAUAAACUACAGAGAGAAGACUUUUACAUACCAUUGAACACCUAAUUUGUGAUAAAUGAA